rnacentral:rRNA from 1 species
GAUGAACGCUGGCGGCGUGCCUAAUACAUGCAAGUCGAGCGAAUGGAUUAAGAGCUUGCUCUUAUGAAGUUAGCGGCGGACGGGUGAGUAACACGUGGGUAACCUGCCCAUAAGACUGGGAUAACUCCGGGAAACCGGGGCUAAUACCGGAUAACAUUUUGAACCGCAUGGUUCGAAAUUGAAAAGCGGCUUCGGCUGCCACUUAUGGAUGGGCCCGCGUCGCAUUAGCUAGUUGGUGAUGUAACGGCUCACCAAGGCAACGAUGCGUAGCCGACCUGAGAGGGUGAUCGGCCACACUGGGACUGAGACACGGCCCAGACUCCUACGGGAGGCAGCAGUAGGGAAUCUUCCGCAAUGGACGAAAGUCUGACGGAGCAACGCCGCGUGAGUGAUGAAGGCUUUCGGGUCGUAAAACUCUGUUGUUAGGGAAGAACAAGUGCUAGUUGAAUAAGCUGGCACCUUGACGGUACCUAACCAGAAAGCCACGGCUAACUACGUGCCAGCCGCCGCAGUAA